rnacentral:miRNA from 1 species
UUAGGUUGGUGCAAAAGUAAUUGUGGUUGUUGCCAUUGAAAGUAAUGGCCAAAACCGUAAUUACUUUUUCACCAACCUAAUAA